UUUUAUGGAGAGUUUGAUCCUGGCUCAGGAUGAACGCUGGCGGCGUGCCUAAUACAUGCAAGUCGAGCGAACGGACGAGAAGCUUGCUUCUCUGAUGUUAGCGGCGGACGGGUGAGUAACACGUGGAUAACCUACCUAUAAGACUGGGAUAACUUCGGGAAACCGGAGCUAAUACCGGAUAAUAUUUUGAACCGCAUGGUUCAAAAGUGAAAGACGGUCUUGCUGUCACUUAUAGAUGGAUCCGCGCUGCAUUAGCUAGUUGGUAAGGUAACGGCUUACCAAGGCAACGAUGCAUAGCCGACCUGAGAGGGUGAUCGGCCACACUGGAACUGAGACACGGUCCAGACUCCUACGGGAGGCAGCAGUAGGGAAUCU
rnacentral:rRNA from 1 species